GAUGAAGAACGUAGCGAAAUGCGAUAAGUAAUGUGAAUUGCAGAAUUCAGUGAAUCAUCGAAUCUUUGAACGCACAUUGCGCCCGCCAGUAUUCUGGCGGGCAUGCCUGUCCGAGCGUCAUUUCAACCCUCGAACCCCUCCGGGGGGUCGGCGUUGGGGAUCGGCCCUGCCUCUUGGCGGUGGCCGUCUCCGAAAUACAGUGGCGGUCUCGCCGCAGCCUCUCCUGCGCAGUAGUUUGCACACUCGCAUCGGGAGCGCGGCGCGUCCACAGCCGUUAAACACCCAACUUCUGAAAUGUUGACCUCGGAUCAGGAAGGAAUACCCGCUGAACUUAAGCAUAUCAAUAAGCGGAGGA
rnacentral:misc_RNA from 1 species